CCUAUGGGAGGCAGCAGUGAGGAAUAUUGGUCAAUGGCCGGAAGGCUGAACCAGCCAUGCCGCGUGAAGGUCAGUGCCCUAUGGGCGUUAAACUUCUUUUGUGCGGGAGCAAUAAUGGUCACGUGUGGCCAGACGAGAGUACCGUACGAAUAAGCAUCGGCUAACUCCGUGCCAGCAGCCGCGGUAAUACGGGGGAUGCAAGCGUUAUCCGGAUUUAUUGGGUUUAAAGGGUGCGUAGGCUGUGAGGUAAGUCAGCGGUGAAAUGCCCCCGCUCAACGGGGUGAAGUGCCAUUGAUACUGCCUUGCUGGAAUGCGGAUGCCGUGGGAGGAAUGUGUGGUGUAGCGGUGAAAUGCGUAGAUAUCAGGAGGAACACCGGCGGCGAAGGCGGCCUGCUGGACUGCGACUGACGUUGAGGCUCGAAAGCGUGGGGAGCGAACAGGAUUAGAUACCCCAGUAGUC
rnacentral:rRNA from 1 species